UCCAACAUCCACAACAAGGCAGUUUAGUGACGAUAGAAGCAGCAUAGUUUGUUUCGUGGGCCGUGGAACAUGUCUCGUUGUUAAGUUGCGUUUUUUUAAUGACGUGUAAUUGUUUCACGAGAAUUUGUAACUGUUUCAGCUGCAUGUUAAACUGUUUACAACGUUGACUAGACUUUUUACAGUGGUGCUGUCGUGCUGUGUUUGAUCGACAAGAUGUGUAAAUAAAGAAUUUGUGCAGACGGGACCCGCUGAACUAGCCUAAUCCGGUUGAAACUUCGAGGACGUCGAAAGAUGAUGUGCACCGUUUAUGCUUCCUGGGAACUUUUUGGCAAAGUGAUCGACUGAUCGUUCGUCGGAAUACGAAACUUCGGGAGCGCCGGAUCGUAAUUCGACCUGGAAAAGGAUAAGACAGCACAAGGAUACAGCAACAAAGCAUGAAGAUUUUCGUGACAAUGUGGUGGCUGCUAACGGUUAUUGAGAGGUACCGGCUGUUAUUUCUCCGUUUUCGAGAUUCCGCUGCAAAAUGUGUCGGAUUCCUGUCGUAUUGCUACUCGCUUUGAAAUGUUAUUCCCCUUUAUUCCUUCGUUUCUUUUUCUUUAGAUAUAGCUACUCUGAGUAAAUUUUUGAUGUCGCCAUAGAAAAUAGAAACCUUAAACCAAAGACAGAAUGUGGCUGAACGGAGAAAUCCGGAGAAAUACUAAACAAUGUACACCUAUCUUUGUUUGACAUGAAACUUCGCUAAUUGUUUAUGUGCGGCUAUUACGCAAUUUUAUUCUAUCUUUUAAAUGAAUCAGGGCACGUUUGAAUUCGGUGCUAGUAGAUAUGUACAUCAGAGGACUGUAGAGAGUGUGGAUGAUAAACCAGUCAACGAGA